rnacentral:rRNA from 1 species
AACUAAGUGUGAUUUAUACUUAGCUUCUUCUGCUCAAUGAAUGGUUUUAAUAGCCGCAGUACUCUGACUGUGCAAAGGUAGCAUAAUCAUUUGGCUCAUAAGUGGAGUCUUGUAUGAACGAAUGCAUGGGUGAAGACUGUCACCAGAUAAUAAGAAGAACUUUUUAAGUAAGUGAAAAUACUUAUAAGUGGCUAAUAGACGAGAAGACCCUAGAAAUUUUUUAUUUAUAGAGUAUCAGUAACGCUAUGCGUAUUUUGCUGGGGCGGCAGAGUAACAGUUAUUAACUUGCUCUAGAAAUAUGAUUUUUAUUUAAAGGUAAGCCAAAAUUACUCUAGGGAUAACAGCGUAAUUCUGAAGAGUUUGCGACCUCGAUGUUGGACUAGGAAAGAGAAUGUGCAGAAGGUAUUUUCUUGCGUUCUGUUCGAACGAUGUCUCCUACAUG